UUUCUUUCCUUGUCAGAAACUCCCCAGAUAAGGAGUGGCUACCGGUUCAAUAUAAAACGUAGCUCCGCAGCUCUGCUGUUGCUGGUUCCUGGGAUCCUGACUGAAAUCUUCCAUUGAGUUGGUGGUAGUCAACAGCAUCUCAAAAACCCACCCAAUAAGACCUACAGUACUGAUGUCGCAUUCAGAGGGGUCCUUAUCGGUGCCAUGAGAAGACUGCAGGAUUCAAUUUCAACUAUACAGAUGACCCCAACUAUGGUCCCUUCCUGGUGAGUGUGAAUGGUGUAGCUGGGAACAAUACUGAACUCACUUUCUGGGAGCUCCUUGUUCAGACUGGGGGGAAUGGGACCAUAAUCAGACCUGAUGUGGGUAUUGGCUGUUACAUCCCAAAACCAAAUGAUCAUCCUGAAUUUGACAAUGUUCACCCCAAACACCACGAGUGGCAGUGGUACGAAUCCUGGUGUGUUGUUGUUUUUGUUUUCUAAUCUAAGCUUAACCCUUUCAUCAGUGACUACCAUACAUAACCAUAAAACCCUAACUGACCCCAUACCUUAGUCACUACCAUACCACACCUUAAGUCACUAACUAACCCCAUACCUUAGUCACUACCAUACCACACCUUAAGUCACUAACUAACCCCAUACCUUAGUCACUACCAUACCACACCUUAAGUCACUAACUAACCCCAUACCUUAGUCACUACCAUACCACACCUUAAGUCACUAACUAAGCCCAUACCUUAUUCACUACCAUACCACACCUUAAGUCACUAACUAACCCCAUACCUUAGUCACUACCAUACCACACCUUAAGUCACUAACUAAGCCCAUACCUUAGUCACUACCAUACCACACCUUAAGUCACUAACUAAGCCCAUACCUUAUUCACUACCAUACCACACCUUAAGUCACUAACUAAGCCCAUACCUUAGUCACUACCAUACCACACCUUAAGUCACUAACUAACCCCAUACCUUAUUCACUACCAUACCACACCUUAAGUCACUAACUAACCCCAUACCUUAUUCACUACCAUACCACACCUUAAGUCACUAACUAACCCCAUACCUUGUCACUACCAUACCACACCGUAAGUCACUAACUAACCCCAUACCUUAUUCACUACCAUACCAUACCUUAAGUCACUAACUAACCCCAUACCUUAUUCACUACCAUACCACACCUUAAGUCACUAACUAACCCCAUACCUUGUCACUACCAUACCACACAUUAAGUCACUAACUAAGCCCAUACCUUAGUCACUACCAUACCACACCUUAAGCCACUAACUAACCCCAUACCUUAUUCACUACCAUACCACACCUUAAGUCACUAACUAACCCCAUACUUUGUCACUACCAUACCACACCUUAAGUCACUAACUAACCCCAUACCUUCGUCACUAUCAUACCACACCUUAUUAAGUCACUAAUUAACUCCAUACCUAACCAUAAGUCACUUACUAACUCAUUAGCAGGGAAGUUCACUUGCUUAAUACAUCUAAAUCGGCAGAUAAAUAUGUGGGUUUUUGUUGUUUUCUGUGAGUAUGAUUUUCAACCAGUGUAAAAGUUAUUGUGUGAUCAUGUUGGAAUAGACAGUAGCUCCUGAUCAAUACUGUUUUGUGAUUGGAAAACGUGCCACAGUUGAAUUUAUGUAAUUCAAUUAUAAAAACAUGUUAAUUCAAUAAUUCUCUCAUUGUUUGAAUUACAUUUAAUUUCAUGAAGCUUUACCCUGACAUCAUAGCAAAUACGCUGCAAAGGCAUCUGUUCCUUGUAGUGUUGGAAAAAGUAUGGAAUUGUCAUACUUGAGGUAAAGUCAGUACAGGUGAGUCACAGAGUAAAAUACUACUUGAGUAAAAGUCUAAAAGUAUUUGGUUUUAAAUAUACUUAAGUAUUAGAAGUGAAAGUAAAAGUAUCAACUAUUUGAAAUUCCUUAUAUUAAGCAAACCAGACGGCACCAUGUUAUUGUAUUUUUAUUUACAGAUAGCCAGGGGUACACUGCAAAUCUCAGACAUCAUUUACAAACUAAGCAUUUGUGUUUAUUGAGUCCGCCAGAUCAGAGGCAGUAUAGAUGACCAGGGAUGUUCUCUUGAUAAGUGUAUGAAUUGUACCAUUUUCCUGUCCUGCUAAGCAUUAAAAAUGUAGAAAGUCCUUUUGGGUGUCAGGGAAUGUAUGGCAUAAAAAGUACAUUAUUUU